AUUGAACGCUGGCGGCAUGCCUUACACAUGCAAGUCGAACGGCAGCACGGGAGCAAUCCUGGUGGCGAGUGGCGAACGGGUGAGUAAUAUAUCGGAACGUGCCCAGUCGUGGGGAUAACGUAGCGAAAGCUACGCUAAUACCGCAUACGAUCUAUGGAUGAAAGCGGGGGAUCGCAAGACCUCGCGCGAUUGGAGCGGCCGAUAUCAGAUUAGGUAGUUGGUGAGGUAAAGGCUCACCAAGCCGACGAUCUGUAGCUGGUCUGAGAGGACGACCAGCCACACUGGGACUGAGACACGGCCCAGACUCCUACGGGAGGCAGCAGUGGGGGAAUUUUUGGGACAAAUGGGCGGCCAAAGCCCUGAUCCAGCAAUGCCGCGUGCAGGAUGAAGGGCCUCGGUUGUAACUAGCUUU
rnacentral:rRNA from 1 species